GGGUUCUAUGGGGGCCUAUGGGGUCCUAUUGAGUUCUAUGGGGUUCUAUGGGGCCCUAUGGGGUCCUAUGGGGUUCUAUGGGGUCCUAUUGGGUUCUAUGGGGGCCUAUGGGGUCCUAUUGAGUUCUAUGGGGUUCUAUGGGGUUCUGUUGAGUUCUAUGGGGGCCUAUGGGGUUCUAUGGGGUUCUAUGGGGGUUCUGUUGGGUUCUAUGGGGUUCUGUGGGGUCCUAUUGGGUUCUAUGGGGUUCUGUUGGGUUCUAUGGGGGCCUAUAGGGGUCUAUGGGGUUCUAUGGGGUUCUAUGGGGUCCUGUUGGGUUCUAUGGGGUCCUAUUGGGUUCUAUGGGGGUUCUGUGGGGUCCAAUGGGGGCCUAUGGGGUUCUAUGGGGGCCUAUAGGGUUCUAUUGGGUUCUAUGGGGGUUCUGUGGGGUUCUAUGGGGCCUUAUGGGGUUCUAUGGGGUCCUAUGGGGUUCUAUGGGGGCCUGUUGGGUUCUGUUGGGUUCUGUUGGGUUCUAUGGGGGCCUAUGGGGUUCUAUGGGGCCCUAUGGGGUCCUAUUGGGUUCUAUGGGGUUCUGUUGGGUUCUAUGGGGGCCUAUAGGGGUCUAUGGGGUUCUAUGGGGUUCUAUGGGGCCCUAUGGGGUUCUAUGGGGUCCUAUUGGGUUCUAUGGGGGCCUGUAGGGCCCUAUGGGGUUCUAUGGGGCCCUAUGGGGUCCUGUUGGGUUCUAUGGGGGCCAGUGGGGUUCUGUUGGGUUCUAUGGGGUUCUAUGGGGCCCUAUGGGGUCCUAUGGGGUUCUAUGGGGGCCUAUGGGGGCCUAUGGGGUUCUAUGGGGGUCUAUGGGGUUCUAUAGGGCCAUAUGGGGUCCUAUUGGGUUCUAUGGGGGCCUAUGGAGUUCUAUGGGGCUCUAUGGGGUCCUAUUGGGUUCUAUGGGGCCCUAUCGGGUUCUCUUGGGUUCUAUGGGGUUCUAUGGGGUUCUGUUGGGUUCUAUGGGGUUCUAUGGGGGUUCUAUGGGGGCCUAUGGGGUUCUAUGGGGUUCUGUGGGGGCCUAUUGGGUUCUAUGGGGUCCUAUUGGGUUCUAUGGGGGCCUGUAGGGCCCUAUGGGGUUCUAUGGGGCCCUAUGGGGUCCUGUUGGGUUCUAUGGGGGCCUAUGGGGUCCUAUGGGGUUCUAUGGGGUCCUAUUGGGUUCUAUGGGGUUCUGUGGGGUCCAAUGGGGGCCUAUGGGGUUCUAUGGGGUUCUGUUGGAUUCUAUGGGGUCCUAUGGGGGUUCUGUGGGGGCCUGUUGGGUUCUUUGGGGCCCUAUGAGGUUCUAUGGGGCCCUAUGGGGUUCUAUGGGGUUCUAUGGGGCCUAUGGGGGUUCUAUGGGGUUCUGUUGGGUUCUAUGGGGCCCUAUGGGGUUCUAUUGGGUUCUAUGGGGGUUCUGUUGGGUUCUAUGGGGUUCUAUGGGGCCCUAUGGGGUUCUGUUGGGGUUCUGUUGGGUUCUAUGGGGUUCUAUGGGGCCCUAUGGGCUUCUGUUGGGUUCUUUGGGGCCCUAUGGGGUUCUCUUGGGUUCUAUGGGGUUCUAUGGGGUUCUGUUGGGUUCUUUGGGGCCCUAUGGGGUUCUAUUGGCUUCU